CCCGAAGUAGGAAGAGUUAACUUACUAGUGGUUAGUGUGUUAUAACUAUCGUUAAGGUAAGUUAGAGGCGAUAUGCUAAUCAAUUCUUAUAUAUCUGGUUUAAUUUGUUAAAAUUUAAUUUAUAUGAAGAUUUUUGAAUCUAUUAAAAUAUAGUAGAAGGGGAAGCUUUCUAUAUUGAAUUGUAAUUUGAUUUUAUAGAAGGUUUAAUAAUCUUCAUUGAUUUUAAUAAAAUUUUAUUAAAUUUAAGGAGGUUAAACUAUAAACUUUUGAAAAUAGAGGAUGAUAAAUAUAUUAGUAAUUAGAGUGUAGUUAAUAAUUAAAUUUAAUAUAGGUUUUAUUAAAAAAGAAUUAAAAAAGAAUUCGGCAAAACUAAUUUCGCAUGUUUAACAAAAACAUCUCUUGAAAUAUUUCAAGUAACCUCUGCCCUAUGAAUAGUUUAAAUGGCCGCAGUACUUUGACUGUGCAAAGGUAGCAUAAUCACUUGUCUUUUAAUUGGAGGCUGGAAUGAAGGAGGCGACGAAAUUUAGGCUAUUUAACUUUAAGGUGAAAUUAACAUAAAGGUCAAAAGGCCUUUAUAGACCAAAGGGACGAUAAGACCCUAUAAAACUUUACUAUACAAUAGAUUAUAUAGGUAAGAUUUAAGCUAUAGUUUAACUGGGGCGGUUUAUAUAAAAACAAUUAGAAUUAAAAUAUUUUAAAUAGAUCUAGAGAACUUUAGUAGAAAAUGAACAAGUUACUUUAGGGAUAACAGCAUAAUUCUCCCAGAGAGUCCUAAUUGGCGGGAGAGCUUAUGACCUCGAUGUUGAAUUGGGGUGUCUAAUAUAAGUAGAAAUAUAUUGAGAUAGUCUGUUCGACUAUUAAAAUCCCACAUGAUUUGAGUUCAGACCGGCGUAAGCCAGGUUGGUUUCUAUCUUUUGGGAAGGGAAGGUUUAAAUUGUACGAAAGGACCUUUAAAC
rnacentral:rRNA from 1 species